rnacentral:rRNA from 1 species
CCUACGGGAGGCAGCAGUCGGGAAUCUUGCGCAAUGGGCGAAAGCCUGACGCAGCAACACCGUGUGAGUGAUGAAGGCCUUCGGGUCGUAAAGCUCUGUUGUUGGGGACGAAGGGCGAGGGGUUAAUAGCCCCGAGCUUGACGGUACCCUUCGAGGAAGCCCCGGCUAACUACGUGCCAGCAGCCGCGGUAAUACGUAGGGGGCGAGCGUUGUCCGGAAUUAUUGGGCGUAAAGAGCGUGUAGGCGGUUCGGUAAGUCUGCUGUGAAAACCCAGGGCUCAACCCUGGGCGUGCAGUGGAUACUGCCGGGCUAGAGGGUGGUAGAGGCGAGUGGAAUUCCCAGUGUAGCGGUGAAAUGCGCAGAUAUUGGGAGGAACACCAGUAGCGAAGGCGGCUCGCUGGGCCAUACCUGACGCUGAGACGCGAAAGCUAGGGGAGCGAACAGGAUUAGAUACCCUGGUAGUCCUAGCCGUAAACGAUGAACACUAGGUGUGGGCGGAGUCGAAUCUGUCUGUGCCGAAGCCAACGCGAUAAGUGUUCCGCCUGGGGAGUACGGCCGCAAGGCUAAAACUCAAAGGAAUUGACGGGGGCCCGCACAAGCAGCGGAGCAUGUUCUUUAAUUCGAUGCAACGCGAAGAACCUUAC